rnacentral:rRNA from 1 species
UACGUAGGGGGCAAGCGUUGUCCGGAUUUACUGGGCGUAAAGAGCGUGUAGGCGGCUUGGCAAGUCCGUUGUGAAAAUUCGAGGCUCAACCUCGAGACGCCGGUGGAAACUGCAAAGCUAGAGUCCGGAAGAGGAGAGUGGAAUUCCUGGUGUAGCGGUGAAAUGCGCAGAUAUCAGGAAGAACACCCGUGGCGAAGGCGGCUCUCUGGGACGGUACUGACGCUGAGACGCGAAAGCGUGGGGAGCGAACAGG